rnacentral:rRNA from 1 species
CCUAAGGUAGCGAAAUUCCUUGUCGGGUAAGUUCCGACCCGCACGAAAGGCGUAAUGAUUUGAGCACUGUCUCGACAAUGCAUCCGGUGAAAUUGAAGUACCAGUGAAGAUGCUGGUUACCUGCGCCAGGACGGAAAGACCCCAUGGAGCUUUACUCCAGUUUGAUACUGGGAUUCGGUACUGUCUGUACAGGAUAGGUGGGAGGCUAGGAAAUGGUGACGCCAGUUGCCAUGGAGCCAACCUUGGGAUACCACCCUUACAGUACUGGGUUUCUAACCUGCAGCCGUAACCCGGCUGGGGGACAAUGUCUGACGGGGAGUUUGACUGGGGCGGUCGCCUCCGAAAGAGUAUCGGAGGCGCUCAAAGGUUCCCUCAGAACGGUUGGAAACCGUUCGAAGAGUGCAAAGGCAGAAGGGAGCUUGACUGCGACACCGACGGGUGGAGCAGGUACGAAAGUAGGACUUAGUGAUCCGGUGGUAUAAAGUGGGAUUGCCAUCGCUCAACGGAUAAAAGCUACCCUGGGGAUAACAGGCUUAUCACUCCCAAGAGUUCACAUCGACGGAGUGGUUUGGCACCUCGAUGUCGGCUCAUCGCAUCCUGGAGCUGUAGCAGGUUCCAAGGGUUGGGCUGUUCGCCCAUUAAAGCGGUACGCGAGCUGGGUUCAGAACGUCGUGAGACAGUUCGGUCCCUAUCCGGCGUGGGCGUAGGAUAUUUGAGAGGAGCUGUCCUUAGUACGAGAGGACCGGGAUGGACAAACCUCUGGUGUAUCUGUUGUUUUACCAAAGGCAUGGCAGAGUAGCCAAGUUUGGCAGGGAUAAACGCUGAAGGCAUCUAAGCGUGAAGCCCCCCUCAAGAUAAGAUAUCCCAUCUUCGGAGUAAGACCCCUUGAAGACUACAAGGUUGAUAGGCUUCAGGUGUAAGUGUGGUAACGCACUCAGCUGAGAAGUACUAAUAGGUCGAGGACUUAUCCUU